rnacentral:rRNA from 1 species
GGGAAUCUACCUAGUUCUACGGAACAACAGUUGGAAACGACUGCUAAUACCGUAUACGCCCUACGGGGGAAAGAUUUAUCGGAAUUAGAUGAGCCCGCGUAAGAUUAGCUAGUUGGUGGGGUAAUGGCCUACCAAGGCGACGAUCUUUAGCUGGUCUGAGAGAAUGAUCAGCCACACUGGGACUGAGACACGGCCCAGACUCCUACGGGAGGCAGCAGUGGGGAAUAUUGGACAAUGGGCGCAAGCCUGAUCCAGCCAUGCCGCGUGAGUGAUGAAGGCCUUAGGGUUGUAAAGCUCUUUCACCGAUGAAGAUAAUGACGGUAGUCGGAGAAGAAGCCCCGGCUAACUUCGUGCCAGCAGCCGCGGUAAUACGAAGGGGGCUAGCGUUGUUCGGAUUUACUGGGCGUAAAGCGCACGUAGGCGGUUUGUUAAGUCAGGGGUGAAAUCCCGGAGCUCAACUCCGGAACUGCCUUUGAUACUGGCAAGCUAGAGUCCGGAAGAGGUAAGUGGAACUCCUAGU